rnacentral:rRNA from 1 species
ACUCUACGGGAGGCAGCAGUGGGGAAUCUUGCACAAUGGAGGAAACUCUGAUGCAGCGAUGCCGCGUGAGUGAAGAAGGCCCUUGGGUUGUAAAGCUCUUUCGUCGGGGAAGAAAAUGACUGUACCCGAAUAAGAAGGUCCGGCUAACUUCGUGCCAGCAGCCGCGGUAAUACGAAGGGACCUAGCGUAGUUCGGAAUUACUGGGCUUAAAGAGUUCGUAGGUGGUUGAAAAAGUUAGUGGUGAAAUCCCAGAGCUUAACUCUGGAACUGCCAUUAAAACUUUUCAGCUAGAGUAUGAUAGAGGAAAGCAGAAUUUCUAGUGUAGAGGUGAAAUUCGUAGAUAUUAGAAAGAAUACCAAUUGCGAAGGCAGCUUUCUGGAUCAUUACUGACACUGAGGAACGAAAGCAUGGGUAGCGAAGAGGAUUAGAUACCCUCGUAGUCCAUGCCGUAAACGAUGUGUGUUAGACGUUGGAAAUUUAUUUUCAGUGUCGCAGGGAAACCGAUAAACACACCGCCUGGGGAGUACGACCGCAAGGUUAAAACUCAAAUGAAUUGACGGGGACCCGCACAAGUAGUGGAGCAUGUGGUUUAAUUCGAAGAUACGCGCAGAACCUUACCAACACUUGACAUGUUCGUCGCGACUCUAAGAGAUUAGAGUUUUCGGUUCGGCCGGACGAAACACAGGUGCUGCAUGGCUGUCGUCAGCUCGUGUCGUGAGAUGUUGGGUUAAGUCCCGCAACGAGCGCAACCCUCACUUUUAGUUGCCAUCAUUAAGUUGGGCACUCUGAAAGAACUGCCAGUGAUAA